AACAGGGUUUAGUUUACUANACUGCUGACGACCGGCGCACGGGUGAGUAACGCGUAUACAAUUUGCCUUUUACUGGAGGAUAGCCAAGAGAAAUUUUGAUUAAUACUCCAUAGUAUUAUUAGAUCACCUGAUUUGAUAAUUAAAGUUCCGGCGGUAAAAGAUGAGUAUGCGUCCUAUUAGCUAGAUGGUAAGGUAACGGCUUACCAUGGCGACGAUAGGUAGGGGUCCUGAGAGGGAGAUCCCCCACACUGGUACUGAGACACGGACCAGACUCCUACGGGAGGCAGCAGUGAGGAAUAUUGGGCAAUGGAGGCAACUCUGACCCAGCCAUGCCGCGUGCAGGAAGACGGCCCUAUGGGUUGUAAACUGCUUUUAUACAGGAAGAAACUUACCCACGUGUGGGUAACUGACGGUACUGUAAGAAUAAGGACCGGCUAACUCCGUGCCAGCAGCCGCGGUAAUACGGAGGGUCCAAGCGUUAUCCGGAAUCAUUGGGUUUAAAGGGUCCGUAGGCGGGCAAUUAAGUCAGAGGUGAAAUCCCACAGCUCAACUGUGGAACUGCCUUUGAUACUGGUUGUCUUGAGUUAUAGUGAAGUAGAUAGAAUAUGUAGUGUAGCGGUGAAAUGCAUAGAUAUUACAUAGAAUACCGAUUGCGAAGGCAGUCUACUAACUGUAUACUGACGCUAAUGGACGAAAGCGUGGGGAGCGAACAGGAUUAGAUACCCUGGUAGUCCACGCCGUAAACGAUGGUCACUAGUUGUUGGGGUCUUGUACCUCAGUGAUUAAGAGAAAUUGAUAAGUGACCCACCUGGGGAGUACGAUCGCAAGAUUGAAACUCAAAGGAAUUGACGGGGGCCCGCACAAGCGGUGGAGCAUGUGGUUUAAUUCGAUGAUACGCGAGGAACCUUACCAGGGCUUAAAUGUAAGUUGCAUGAUUUAGAGAUAGAUCUUUCUUCGGACUACUUACAAGGUGCUGCAUGGUUGUCGUCAGCUCGUGCCGUGAGGUGUCAGGUUAAGUCCUAUAACGAGCGCAACCCCUACCGUUAGUUGCCAGCAUGUUAUGAUGGGGACUCUAGCGGGACUGCCGGUGCAAACCGAGAGGAAGGUGGGGAUGACGUCAAAUCAUCACGGCCCUUACGUCCUGGGCUACACACGUGCUACAAUGGUAACGACAGAGGGCAGCCACCCCGCGAGGGGGAG
rnacentral:rRNA from 1 species